UACGUAGGUGGCAAGCGUUGUCCGGAUUUAUUGGGUUUAAAGGGUUCGUAGGUGGCCCGCUAAGUCAGACGUGAAAUCCCUCAGCUCAACUGGGGAACUGCGUCUGAGACUGGCGGGCUUGAGUGCAGGAGAGGAACGCGGAAUUCCAGGUGUAGCGGUGAAAUGCGUAGAUAUCUGGAGGAACACCGGUGGCGAAGGCGGCGUUCUGGACUGUUACUGACACUGAGGAACGAAAGCCAGGGGAGCAAACGGG
rnacentral:rRNA from 1 species